rnacentral:rRNA from 1 species
UACGUAGGGUGCGAGCGUUAAUCGGAAUUACUGGGCGUAAAGCGUGCGCAGGCGGUUUUGUAAGCCAGAUGUGAAAUCCCCGGGCUUAACCUGGGAAUGGCAUUUGGGACUGCAAGGCUCGAGUGCGGCAGAGGAGACUGGAAUUCCUGGUGUAGCAGUGAAAUGCGUAGAUAUCAGGAGGAAUACCGAUGGCGAAGGCAGCACUCUGGGCCGGUAUUGACGCUGAGGAGCGAAAGCGUGGGGAGCAAACAGG